GGCCUUCUAGCUCAUCUGGAAGAGCGCCCGUGUGAAGAGCGGGAGGCAUGAGGUUCGACUCCUCAGAAGGCCA
rnacentral:tRNA from 1 species